rnacentral:rRNA from 1 species
GGUUGAUAAAAUCUAAAUUUUCAACGAUGGAUGUCUAGGUUCCCACAACGAUGAAGAACGCAGCGAAAAUGCGAUAUGCAGUGUGAAUUGCAGAACCACGAAUCAUCGGAUCUUUGAACGUAAAUAGCGCCGGCACAACCGGCAUGUUUGGUUCAGUGUGCACA